GUGGAAAAUUUUAUCAUGUAAAAUACGCUUUGGUCUGUCUUAAUUUUUUUUCUGUCUAUGGUAAAAUUUUACAUUCAAAAUGGCGUUGGAUCGGUUAUGGCUGCGUGAUGAACAAGAUGUCACUAUUUAAUUUAUUUUCAUUGAGUUUGAUUGUGGUGUCUGUUAUUCUCUCAGCUCAUGGCGAAGAAUGCGUCUAUGAGAAAUCUGGAAGAUGUAUUAAACCUUGUCCCCCUGACACGUAUUCAUAUACACCAAGUCGUAAAGAGUUGACAAUGACAAGGAGAACAUGCCGCCAGCCUGUCCCGAUCUCCAUAGGAAGAUUCCUGCAUUUCUCCAGGUGUGAUUGCAAGAAAGACAAAUUAUGGGACGAGGUCGCGCAAAAGUGUGUCUCGAUUGAAGAUUGUCCCGGUCAUAAGCAUAAAAAAUAAUAAAAUAUGUUUGUUUCUA